AGUCACCCUCUCACCUUUUUGGGGGGAUUGUGGUGGGGUGAGGUGUGGGAUAGAAGGGGAAGGGUGGUGGCCCUCCAGCCCCCAUGACUCAGGAUCCCUCUAAGGACAACCCAGAUGUCUUUCUGGGAUUUUCAAGGACUCCUUUCUGGAUAGGACAUCCGGUCUCUGUCCUCAAUUCCUCAAGAGGAACAGAAAUCAAUUGAUUGAGAGGGAGGCACAGGGCUGGGGUGGGGACUCCUGGGCUGCUUACCUGCCAGUUUCUGAUAGAAGGGGAGGGCUGGUCUCCAAAGCACGCAGGCCACAGAUUUUGGCCUUGACUUUAGCACCAAUUCGCACUUUUCAAGGGAAUCCUUUGUUUUCCUGUCUUUGUUUAUGUGCUUCCCUCUCAGCCAUGAAAUCCUAGAAAGGAGUCAUUAUCAUAUUUUUAUCUCUGUGUACCCAUGUUUAGCCCCAGUGCCUGGCACCACCAGGGCAGCCAUUAAAUAUUUGCUAACUGGUCUGGGGAUCGAGUGCCAUCUGGUGGAGGAAGUAGGCAUGGCAGCAUUUCAGAUCCCCUGGGACAGCAGGCCCGGCCCUGGUUUGGGGAUGUCCUUGUAAGUAUGAGGUCAUGGAGCGGGGGUAGUGUCCCCAGACAAGGUGUGCUAGGGAGGGGAAGGGAAGGGAAGGGAGGCCCUUGAAAGAUGAGGAGGAAGAAGGAAGAGGCCACCACAGGAGCACAACUUUGGUAAGUGAGACCCUCUCUGCAGCCCUCUGUGCACUCCUCUGUGGACACGUAGGGUGGUCGGGAUGUAAUAAAGGCUGUGGAAAUAACAACAGCCCCAAGCCUUUAUGGAGUAUGGGUGCCAUGAAGUGGUGCAGUUUUUGGUUCCAUUUGCAGGUUCAGAAGCUGAGGCUCAGACAGUUAGUAACUCACCCAAGGUCACUCAGUCUAUCAGAGUCAGGGCUGGGAUUCAAAGCCAGGCCAUGGGACCUGGACCUGGCAAUUCCUGCGCUAGGUAUUCACUCAUUAGUUCAUUCGGAACCAACUUGUUGGGGCUGGUCCAGUAGGAGGGCACAGCCUCUGCCUUUGUUUUCAUGUGAGUCCUUCCCUUGGGGCCCUUUCUUUCUCUGGGAGUUCUGGCAAUCUAGGGACCAGAGAGAGGCUCCUCCAGUUAGAGAACUGCCAGCUGACAGCACUUCCUGCCCUCCUAAGCACUGUCCACUGUCUGAAACCUCCUUUGCCCCCCGUAACCUCCUGCCUUCCUCGUGUUUCCUCACUUCUAUCAGGACUUCACAUAUACCAGCCCAGUCUGCCUCUCAGAAGGCCCCAGAGCCUCUUCCAAGGGACCAGAUACUCCCUGGUGUUCAAGGUCUACUGGCUGGGGGAUCGUCAAUGUCACAUACCCGGAUUCUGUGUCCUGAAGGCUUCACCAGAGGAGAUGAGAGCAGUUACCUGCCUAGGGGAGCCGGCAGUUCUAGAAGAAACCAGCAGAUGGCGAUAGCGGCUCCCACGUCUCGGGUCCAUAGAAGCAGCUGGAUUCCCCCACUUGAUUUGCACUCUCUGGUUCUGGCUCCCUUGAGAGUUAGGGUGGGGAGAGUUCGGACAUCACCCGAGGCAGAAGGAGCUGCCAAACAUAACUUGGAAUGGAUAAUUAUUGUAAAAUAUUUGUUAAUUAACUCUGUGCUAAAACCCUGUUUGAAACUUGUUUGAAACUUGUCCCUGUUUGAAAACUCUGGGUGGGCCUUCUCCCUCUUGUGGGGCACCCUGCUCCCAGAGAGAUUAGAAACUAGCCUUAAAGUAUGUUUAUCUAAGUAUCCCAUACCUAAUGCUGCUGUACCACACCCUUGCUACAUCCCCUAUGAUCGAAACUCGAGCUACCCUCGCCACCUAAUGUUGCUUUUUCAAGCGCUCGCCACAUUCUGCUGUGUAACUGCAACUUAAACUACCCUGUAAAAGGUAUAAAAAGGAGAAACUGCCUUAAAUCGUGGUCAGCCUAGAAGGACUCGUUUCCUGAGGCUGUCCAUUGCCUGGCAAUAAAUUUCUUUUUUAUUUUACCCAA
ensembl:lncRNA